AUAUAUAUAAGUGAGAAUUUAUGAUUUAGUAGAUCAAGCAGUGGUUGGGAUAAAAAUGUUCCAAGUGCCAUUCCUCCUUUCCCUCAGUAUUUUGCAAACAUUACCGAAGCCAACUCGUGGUUUGAUGACCGCAAACCACUUCUCAUUAAUGAGGAUUAUGGAAAGGAUGAGGCCAGCACUACUGCUCUGCUCCAUCGUCACCAAAGACUGGAGAAAGAAAUGGAAGCAUAUGCCUCAGAAGUUAAAUGACUGGGUGAGCAGGCCAAGAGUGCUUCCCAACUUGCUCUGCUUAUUACUGAAACCCAGCAGAGUAGAAUGGUACACUACAGUGAUUCAUCAGAUGGUGAAGAUGAGAAGGAUAAAAAAGAUGACAAAGAAGGAAAAGUCAUUAGCAAGGCUUUACCACAAGAACAAGCAAAGAUUAGGUUCAGAUACAGAGGUCCUAUAUUAUCCUGGGACAGAGGAGAAACAUUGA
rnacentral:lncRNA from 1 species